GACAGAGGUGGCAAGCGUUGUUCGGAUUCAUUGGGUGUAAAGGGUCCGUAGGCGGCCAACUAAGUCAGACGUGAAAUCCCUCGGCUUAACCGGGGAACUGCGUCUGAUACUGGAUGGCUAGAGGUUGGGAGAGGGAUGCGGAAUUCCAGGUGUAGCGGUGAAAUGCGUAGAUAUCUGGAGGAACACCGGUGGCGAAGGCGGCAUCCUGGACCAAUUCUGACGCUGAGGAGCGAAAGCCAGGGGAGCAAACGGG
rnacentral:rRNA from 1 species